rnacentral:lncRNA from 1 species
ACAACAAACCAAAACAAACACAUGAGAAAUUUCUGGGCAGCUUAAGGUUUUAGAAACAGCAGCAGGGUUUGAAUUUCAUGUUCAUCAAAUCAACAUCAAUUUACAGCAUGGCUGACAGCAUAACAGUAACACAUGUUCAUGCAAAUACAAACAAUAGCAGGCAUGAUUCUGAGAGAAAACAAACUGGAAACAAACUAGGGUUUAAGAGAUACAUCCAUGUUUCACCAUCUU